UCGAGAAUUUUUCUCAAUGUGGGAAACCCUGAAGGAGCGACGCCGCGUGGAGGAUGAAGGUCUUCGGAUUGUAAACUCCUGUCAUUGGUGAACAAAGCCACGGGUUAACUGCCUAGUGGUCUGCUAGUAGCCGAAGAGGAAGGGACGGCUAACUCUGUGCCAGCAGCCGCGGUAAUACAGAGGUCCCGAGCGUUGUUCGGAUUUAUUGGGCGUAAAGGGUGCGUAGGUGGCAAAGUAAGUUGGAUGUGAAAUCCUGGGGCUUAACCUCAGAAUUGCAUUCAAUACUGCUUAGCUAGAGAGCUGUAGAGGAGACUGGAAUUUACGGUGUAGCAGUGAAAUGCGUAGAUAUCGUAAGGAACGCCAGUGGCGAAAGCGAGUCUCUGGGCAGCAUCUGACACUGAGGCACGAAGGCCAGGGGAGCAAACG
rnacentral:rRNA from 1 species